rnacentral:rRNA from 1 species
AUGUCCCAGCAUACCACUUUGAACAUAUUAUUCUUGUCUGUUGUUGGAGGCUAAGCAGGGUCAGGUGUGGUUCUUACUUGGAUGGGAGACCACUAGGGAAUCACAGGGUUUAGAAAAGA